UCCAAUUUUUGGUCACCUUAGAUUCAUUAAGGAGGGGGGGGGAGAUUUCCCUUCUGUACCGGGGGAAAUGCGUAGAUAUGUGAGAGGAAUCCCGGUGGCGAAGGCGGCCCCCCCGCCCAAAGAUUAUACUUCAGUUGGGAAAGCGAGGGGAGCAACCAGAAUUAAAUUCCUUGGUAGUCCAGUCCUGUAACCGAUGUGAAUUUGAAGGUUGUUCCCUUGAGGAGUGCCUUUGGAAGCUAGCGCGUUAAUUAAGCCGCCUGGGGAGUGCGUCCGCAAGGUAAAAAUUCAAAUGAAGGAACGGGGGCCGGCCCAAGCGGGGGGGCAUGGGUUUUAAUUAAAUCCAAGGGAAAGACCCUUCCUUACUUUUGCCUUCCAGAUAUCUUAGCAGGAAUGCAUUGGUCCGUUCGGGAACUUGAACCCAGGUGCUGCAGGGCCGUGGCCAUCUGGUGUUGGGAAAGUUUGGUUUAAGUCCCACACCGAGCCCAACCCUAACCCUUGUUUCCAGUCGAUUCGGUCGGGCACUCAAAGGAGACUGCCGGUGAUAAACCGGAGGAAGGUGGGGAUGACGUCAAGUCAUCAUGGCCCUUACGAGUAGGGCUACACACGUGCUACAAUGGCGUAUACAAAGAGAAGCGACCUCGCGAGAGCAAGCGGAACUCAUAAAGUACGUCGUAGUCCGGAUUGGAGUCUGCAACUCGACUCCAUGAAGUCGGAAUCGCUAGUAAUCGUAGAUCAGAAUGCUACGGUGAAUACGUUCCCGGGCCUUGUAAACGCCGCCCGUCCCAACCAUGGGAGUGG
rnacentral:rRNA from 1 species